rnacentral:rRNA from 1 species
CUUCCCAUACGGGUUGAAGCAUGACCGUAAGGACAUGUGGACAGUAUGGGAGUGAGAAUGUUGGCAUGAGUAGCGAGAUGUGGGUGAGAAUCCCACAGGCCGUAAACCCAAGGUUUCCAGGGGAAGGGUCGUCCGCCCUGGGUUAGUCGGGACCUAAGCUGAGGCCGAAAGGCGUAGGUGAUGGACAACAGGUUGAUAUUCCUGUACUACCGAUAACCGGUUGAGAGAAGGGAUGACACAGUAGGAUAAGCUAAGCACACUGUUGGUUAUGUGUGCCCAAGCAUUGAGGCAGUCAAAG